CCUACGGGAGGCAGCAGUGAGGAAUAUUGGACAAUGGGCGCAAGCCUGAUCCAGCCAUGCCGCGUGCAGGAUGACGGUCCUAUGGAUUGUAAACUGCUUUUGCACAGGAAGAAACAACAUUACGUGUAAUGUCUUGACGGUACUGUGAGAAUAAGGAUCGGCUAACUCCGUGCCAGCAGCCGCGGUAAUACGGAGGAUCCAAGCGUUAUCCGGAAUCAUUGGGUUUAAAGGGUCCGUAGGCGGUUUAGUAAGUCAGUGGUGAAAGCCCAUCGCUCAACGGUGGAACGGCCAUUGAUACUGCUAGACUUGAAUUAUUAGGAAGUAACUAGAAUAUGUAGUGUAGCGGUGAAAUGCUUAGAGAUUACAUGGAAUACCAAUUGCGAAGGCAGGUUACUACUAAUGGAUUGACGCUGAUGGACGAAAGCGUGGGUAGCGAACAGGAUUAGAUACCCUGGUAGUCCACGCCGUAAACGAUGGAUACUAGCUGUUGGGAGCAAUCUCAGUGGCUAAGCGAAAGUGAUAAGUAUCCCACCUGGGGAGUACGUUGCAAGAAUGAAACUCAAAGGAAUUGACGG
rnacentral:rRNA from 1 species